ACUCAAAUGAAUUGACGGGGGCCCGCACAAGCAGUGGAUCAUGUGGUUUAAUUCGACGAUACCCGAAAAACCUUACCAGAACUUGACAUCUAGGGAAUUUCAUAGAAGUAUGAAAGUGCUCGCAAGAGAACCCUAAGACAGGUAGUGCAUGGUUGUCGUCAGCUCGUGUCGUGAGAUGUUAGGUUAAGUCCUGCAACGAGCGCAACCCCCGUAUUGUGUUGCUACAUUUAGUUGAGCACUCUCAAUAGACUGCCCGUGGUAAACGGGAGGAAGGUGGGGAUGACGUCAAAUCAUCAUGCUCCUUACGUUCUGGGCUACACACAUGAUACAAUGGCAAGCACAAAGGGAAGCCAAGCCGCAAGGCGGAGCAAAUCUCAGAAAACUUGCCCCAGUUCAGAUUGCAGGCUGCAACUCGCCUGUAUGAAGAUGGAAUUGCUAGUAAACGCAGAUCAGCAUGCUGCGUUGAAUACGUUCCCGGGCCUUGCACACACCGCCCGU
rnacentral:rRNA from 1 species